AUUGAACGCUGGCGGCAGGCCUAACACAUGCAAGUCGAACGAGUGGCGGACGGGUGAGUAAUGUCUGGGAAACUGCCCGAUGGAGGGGGAUAACUACUGGAAACGGUAGCUAAUACCGCAUACCAUCGGAUGUGCCCAGAUGGGAUUAGCUAGUAGGUGGGGUAAUGGCUCACCUAGGCGACGAUCCCUAGCUGGUCUGAGAGGAUGACCAGCCAAUCUGGAACGGAGACCCGGUCCAGACUCCUAAGGGAGGCAGAGUGGGGGAAUAUUGCGCAAUGGGCGCAAGCCUGAGGCAGCCAUGCCGCGUAUAUGAAGAAGGCCUUCGGGUUGUAAAGUACUUUCAGCGAGGAGGCGUUACUCGCAGAAGAAGCACCGGCUAACUCCGUGCCAGCCGCCGCGGUAAUUC
rnacentral:rRNA from 1 species